GAUGAACGCUGGCGGCGUGCUUAACACAUGCAAGUCGAACGAAGCACUCUAUUUGAUUUUCUUCGGAAAUGAAGAUUUUGUGACUGAGUGGCGGACGGGUGAGUAACGCGUGGGUAACCUGCCUCAUACAGGGGGGAUAACAGUUGGAAACGACUGCUAAUACCGCAUAAGCGCACAGGAUCGCAUGAUCCGGUGCGAAAAACUCCGGUGGUAUGAGAUGGACCCGCGUCUGAUUAGCCAGUUGGCAGGGUAACGGCCUACCAAAGCGACGAUCAGUAGCCGACCUGAGAGGGUGACCGGCCACAUUGGGACUGAGACACGGCCCAAACUCCUACGGGAGGCAGCAGUGGGGAAUAUUGCACAAUGGGGGAAACCCUGAUGCAGCGACGCCGCGUGAGCGAAGAAGUAUUUCGGUAUGUAAAGCUCUAUCAGCAGGGAAGAAGAAUGACGGUACCUGA
rnacentral:rRNA from 1 species